CAUGUUCCUGGCGUGGUGCUGGAGUCGGAAGGAUGUGAAGAUGAAUAAGACAUAUCCUCAGAAUGCAGCUAUAGUUCCCUGUUUGCUGAUAGAUGCCAUCUUUAACUUCUCUAAAAUAUCAGCACAGGAGAUUAAAAACAGUGGUUUCAGCUCUUCACGGCCCUCGGUGAAGUUGCUGAGCAGGGUGUUCCUAACCAGGUUGUCGUCACGCUCACCUCCUGAAUCAUCCGGAUGCCAUCCUCUGAACAGUCCUCUCCUCUGAUAGGAAAACCUCAGAUGUGCGUAUUAAAAACAAGCCAAGUGCUGAAAUGAA